CUCCCUGUAGCUUAACUGGAUAAAGCGCCUCCCUUCUAAGGAGGAAAGUGCAGGUUCGAGUCCUGCCAGGGAGA
rnacentral:tRNA from 1 species